CUUGCUACCUGACCUAGCGGCGGACGGGUGAGUAAUGCUUAGGAAUCUGCCUAUUAGUGGGGGACAACAUUCCGAAAGGAAUGCUAAUACCGCAUACGCCCUACGGGGGAAAGCAGGGGAUCUUCGGACCUUGCGCUAAUAGAUGAGCCUAAGUCAGAUUAGCUAGUUGGUGGGGUAAAGGCCUACCAAGGCGACGAUCUGUAGCGGGUCUGAGAGGAUGAUCCGCCACACUGGGACUGAGACACGGCCCAGACUCCUACGGGAGGCAGCAGUGGGGAAUAUUGGACAAUGGGCGAAAGCCUGAUCCAGCCAUGCCGCGUGUGUGAAGAAGGCCUUUUGGUUGUAAAGCACUUUAAGCGAGGAGGAGGCUACUUGGAUUAAUACUCUAGGAUAGUGGACGUUACUCGCAGAAUAAGCACCGGCUAACUCUGUGCCAGCAGCCGCGGUAAUACAGAGGGUGCGAGCGUUAAUCGGAUUUACUGGGCGUAAAGCGUGCGUAGGCGGCUUUUUAAGUCGGAUGUGAAAUCCCUGAGCUUAACUUAGGAAUUGCAUUCGAUACUGGGAAGCUAGAGUAUGGGAGAGGAUGGUAGAAUUCCAGGUGUAGCGGUGAAAUGCGUAGAGAUCUGGAGGAAUACCGAUGGCGAAGGCAGCCAUCUGGCCUAAUACUGACGCUGAGGUACGAAAGCAUGGGGAGCAAACAGGAUUAGAUACCCUGGUAGUCCAUGCCGUAAACGAUGUCUACUAGCCGUUGGGGCCUUUGAGGCUUUAGUGGCGCAGCUAACGCGAUAAGUAGACCGCCUGGGGAGUACGGUCGCAAGACUAAAACUCAAAUGAAUUGACGGGGGCCCGCACAAGCGGUGGAGCAUGUGGUUUAAUUCGAUGCAACGCGAAGAACCUUACCUGGUCUUGACAUAGUAAGAACUUUCCAGAGAUGGAUUGGUGCCUUCGGGAACUUACAUACAGGUGCUGCAUGGCUGUCGUCAGCUCGUGUCGUGAGAUGUUGGGUUAAGUCCCGCAACGAGCGCAACCCUUUUCCUUAUUUGCCAGCGGGUUAAGCCGGGAACUUUAAGGAUACUGCCAGUGACAAACUGGAGGAAGGCGGGGACGACGUCAAGUCAUCAUGGCCCUUACGACCAGGGCUACACACGUGCUACAAUGGUCGGUACAAAGGGUUGCUACCUAGCGAUAGGAUGCUAAUCUCAAAAAGCCGAUCGUAGUCCGGAUUGGAGUCUGCAACUCGACUCCAUGAAGUCG
rnacentral:rRNA from 1 species